UACGAGGGGGGCGAGCGUUGUUCGGAAUUAUUGGGCGUAAAGGGCGCGUAGGCGGUCGGAUAAGUCUUGUGUGAAAUCUUCGGGCUCAACUCGAAGUCUGCACAGGAAACUAUCUGGCUUGAGUGUGGGAGAGGUGAGUGGAAUUCCUGGUGUAGCGGUGAAAUGCGUAGAUAUCAGGAGGAACACCUGUGGCGAAAGCGGCUCACUGGACCUCAACUGACGCUGAGGCGCGAAAGCUAGGGGAGCAAACAGG
rnacentral:rRNA from 1 species